GGCCUGGUGGUGUAGUUGAAGCACAUUCCUCACUCGAUAUGUUGCGCGCGUCCCCCCUUUUACAUCCACAACCACUAUUGGGGAGGAAAUGAAUGGGUUCGAAUCCCAUCCAGGUCA